CGAUAUCUUCUAGAAAUCAAAGAUGCGGUUUCUGGUUGUUUUCAUGUUGGUUGCUGUAACUAUAGCCAAGAGUGACACGAAUCAACGAAAACAGGAAGUAAAAACCAAAGAGGUGACAAGAGACGUUUGUUCUACAUCUAGCUGUGAAGUUGGUAAGAUCUGUGCAGUAGAAGAAUGUGUCAAUGCAGGACUACAGUGUGGACUAGAGCUUUGUGCUGAAGGUGUUUCGUGUAAUGAUAAUCAUUGUCAAGG